GAGGAAUAUUGGUCAAUGGACGAGAGUCUGAACCAGCCAAGUAGCGUGAAGGAUGACUGCCCUAUGGGUUGUAAACUUCUUUUAUACGGGAAUAAAGUGAGGCACGUGUGCCUUUUUGUAUGUACCGUAUGAAUAAGGAUCGGCUAACUCCGUGCCAGCAGCCGCGGUAAUACGGAGGAUCCGAGCGUUAUCCGGAUUUAUUGGGUUUAAAGGGAGCGUAGGCGGACGCUUAAGUCAGUUGUGAAAGUUUGCGGCUCAACCGUAAAAUUGCAGUUGAUACUGGGUGUCUUGAGUACAGUAGAGGCAGGCGGAAUUCGUGGUGUAGCGGUGAAAUGCUUAGAUAUCACGAAGAACUCCGAUUGCGAAGGCAGCUUGCUGGACUGUAACUGACGCUGAUGCUCGAAAGUGUGGGUAUCAAACAGGAUUAGAUACCCUGGUAGUCCACACAGUAAACGAUGAAUACUCGCUGUUUGCGAUAUACAGUAAGCGGCCAAGCGAAAGCGUUAAGUAUUCCACCUGGGGAGUACGCCGGCAACGGUGAAACUCAAAGGAAUUGACGGGGGCCCGCACAAGCGGAGGAACAUGUGGUUUAAUUCGAUGAUACGCGAGGAACCUUACCCGGGCUUGAAUUGCAACUGAAUGAUGUGGAGACAUGUCAGCCGCAAGGCAGUUGUGGAGGUGCUGCAUGGUUGUCGUCAGCUCGUGCCGUGAGGUGUCGGCUUAAGUGCCAUAACGAGCGCAACCCUUAUCGAUAGUUACCAUCAGGUUAUGCUGGGGACUCUGUCGAGACUGCCGUCGUAAGAUGUGAGGAAGGUGGGGAUGACGUCAAAUCAGCACGGCCCUUACGUCCGGGGCUACACACGUGUUACAAUGGGGGGUACAGAAGGCAGCUACACGGCGACGUGAUGCUAAUCCCUAAAGCCUCUCUCAGUUCGGAUUGGAGUCUGCAACCCGACUCCAUGAAGCUGGAUUCGCUAGUAAUCGCGCAUCAGCCACGGCGCGGUGAAUACGUUCCCG
rnacentral:rRNA from 1 species